rnacentral:rRNA from 1 species
GAUGAACGCUGGCGGCGUGCCUAAUACAUGCAAGUCGAGCGAACGGACGAGAAGCUUGCUUCUCUGAUGUUAGCGGCGGACGGGUGAGUAACACGUGGAUAACCUACCUAUAAGACUGGGAUAACUUCGGGAAACCGGAGCUAAUACCGGAUAAUAUUUUGAACCGCAUGGUUCAAAAGUGAAAGACGGUCUUGCUGUCACUUAUAGAUGGAUCCGCGCUGCAUUAGCUAGUUGGUAAGGUAACGGCUUACCAAGGCAACGAUGCAUAGCCGACCUGAGAGGGUGAUCGGCCACACUGGAACUGAGACACGGUCCAGACUCCUACGGGAGGCAGCAGUAGGGAAUCUUCCGCAAUGGGCGAAAGCCUGACGGAGCAACGCCGCGUGAGUGAUGAAGGUCUUCGGAUCGUAAAACUCUGUUAUUAGGGAAGAACAUAUGUGUAAGUAACUGUGCACAUCUUGACGGUACCUAAGCAGAAAGCCACGGCUAACACGUG